UGUUAAUCUUUCUAGGGAGUUAACCAAUGAUAGUGAAUAUCAUCAGGAUGACUCUGGGGGUCUUGAUGCUGAUUCCUGUGUUUCUCCUGAGUCUGUGGACGAGGAAGAAGAAAGCUCUGCGCUCCACCACUGAAGCACCUGAAGAGAUAGAGUUGGACUCUAUCCCUGAGUAUGAGAACGACUCACACACUGCAGCACAGACAGAAGACACAGAGGAGCAGGGAGACAUGGUGUGAAGUCCACUCAGAUGCUCUCCUGAUAGAAACAAAGAAGAAGGACGUUGAAAUGUCCCUGAGGAGAGCAAGGCUGUGCAGGAUGUGUGCGAAGUUGAUAUAUUCACGUUCAACUCUUAGAGCUUUUAUAGUCAGUGUUCAGCAGCAGCAGC